rnacentral:lncRNA from 1 species
GCUUGUGAUACCCUCGGGGAAAUAAAUCUCCACCAGCAGUGGCAUCGACCCAGUGGUUGUAAAUAAACUCAUCAAAGAUACCAGGACUAAAUUUUAUAUAUACGCCAGACGCGCGUUUCGUCUACAAAAGACUCAUCAGUGACGCUCGAAUCCAAAAAAGAUAAAAAUGCCAAAUAAAGUACGAAGUUGAAGAGCAUUGAGAU